rnacentral:misc_RNA from 1 species
GAGAAGAUUUUAUCCUAAUCCUGGUAUACUUCCUCAAGCUUUGUGAUGCAUGCAUUCUUAAGCAGUUCUUUAUUCUUUUUGAUGGUUCAGUUUGUUUCUUACUGCAUAUAUUAUCUCAGAUGAUAAUGCUUGUUUGAAAAGUUUGAUAAGUUUGUUUGAAUAGUAUGUUGUGUUACCGGUGUUUAAAGUGUCAAAUUUAGAAGAGGCAUAGAAUGGGGAACAUUCAUUUGCAUUAAUUCACUUUGUAAAAAGA